GCUCCUUUAGCUCAGUUGGUCAGAGCAUUGGUCUUAUGAGCCAAAGGUCCACGGUUCGAGCCCGUGAUGGAGCA
rnacentral:tRNA from 1 species